UGCGGGAUCGUCUAAUGGUAGGACACAACUCUCUGGAAGUUGUUAUCUUGGUUCGAAUCCAAGUCCCGCAG
rnacentral:tRNA from 1 species